rnacentral:rRNA from 1 species
UAUUGCCUGGUAGUGGGGGACAACGUUUCGAAAGGAACGCUAAUACCGCAUACGUCCUACGGGAGAAAGCAGGGGACCUUCGGGCCUUGCGCUAUCAGAUGAGCCUAGGUCGGAUUAGCUAGUUGGUGGGGUAAUGGCUCACCAAGGCGACGAUCCGUAACUGGUCUGAGAGGAUGAUCAGUCACACUGGAACUGAGACACGGUCCAGACUCCUACGGGAGGCAGCAGUGGGGAAUAUUGGACAAUGGGCGAAAGCCUGAUCCAGCCAUGCCGCGUGUGUGAAGAAGGUCUUCGGAUUGUAAAGCACUUUAAGUUGGGAGGAAGGGCAUUAACCUAAUACGUUAGUGUUUUGACGUUACCGACAGAAUAAGCACCGGCUAACUCUGUGCCAGCAGCCGCGGUAAUACAGAGGGUGCAAGCGUUAAUCGGAAUUACUGGGCGUAAAGCGCGCGUAGGUGGUUUGUUAAGUUGGAUGUGAAAGCCCCGGGCUCAACCUGGGAACUGCAUCCAAAACUGGCAAGCUAGAGUACGGUAGAGGGUGGUGGAAUUUCCUGUGUAGCGGUGAAAUGCGUAGAUAUAGGAAGGAACACCAGUGGCGAAGGCGACCACCUGGACUGAUACUGACACUGAGGUGCGAAAGCGUGGGGAGCAAACAGGAUUAGAUACCCUGGUAGUCCACGCCGUAAACGAUGUCAACUAGCCGUUGGAAUCCUUGAGAUUUUAGUGGCGCAGCUAACGCAUUAAGUUGACCGCCUGGGGAGUACGGCCGCAAGGUUAAAACUCAA